rnacentral:tRNA from 1 species
GGAGAGGUGGCCGAGCGGCUGAAGGCGCAUCAUUGGAAAUGAUGUUCACGGGGUUCCCUGUGACGUGGGUUCGAAUCCCACCCUCUCCG